ACACGUCGAUCUUGCUGUGCGGAUCACGACUGCCGCGUUCCAAAUGCCCUAAAAAAGAAGCACUACUUCUUCCGUGAGUUAAAAAGAAGAAGAUUGCUCCAGCAAAAACUGGUCUACAACUUCGUACGGAAUCAAUAGUCAGUUCUUAGAAAAUAGUAUAUAUUUAAGGACGACAGCUCUUAGAACUACAACUUCGGUUCAGAAAUCAUACAACCGUUUCCCUUUUGAGCAAAUAAAAAACAACUGUCACAGUUUUCUUUUCUUGUAUGGGUCUAAAAUUUGGAGUCGCCUUUGGGUUCAUUCUAGUCUUGUUUCUAUCCCGGCCGAUAUUAUCUCAAGGAAUAAGAUCAAAUGUAGUAGAGUUGAUGAAAAGUGACGAGAUAUAUGAGAUCGAUUAUAGAGGUCCAGAGACGCAUUCCAAACGUAUUCCACCUCCAGAUCGAUCCGGGAAUGGUCAUUUUAAUCGUCAUAAAACUACUAGUAGUACCAGUAUUGUAAAGAAAUCAUCGGUCAAUGAUCACAAAUUCAAAGGUCCAUGAGCUCCUCCUAUGUACGUACGGCCUCUUCUACUUGAAACUUCGUUCAAAAAGGUUGUGCUAGUUUGUCGGGUAACCCUUCUAUUUUCGGUGUUUACUGCGCGAAGGUCUGUUCCUGUGGGUAGACAAGUACAUCAUAUUAAGGUCAUUAAAGAAGCUUCAUGUGGUCCAUUUAUAUAUGUAUGUAUUUAAGCUUCACGUGGUCAAUCUUCUCAUUCAAAUCAUCCGUAAUUUAUAACUUGGAAACUGUUGUUUAUAUUUUUGAGUGGA